GUCUGGGUCUGGGGAUGUGGUACCGUCUGCUGGCGGCGGCCGGCAGUAGAGCGGUGGCCGGGCCGCUGGCCUUGUUGUGGCGAUGUGGUGGCCCAGGAGGCGGCAGGACGGCCAAGACCAGCGCGAGGGCCCUGGGCAAGGCCCGACAGGCAAUAAGCUCACACCUCAUCCUGCUUGCUCCAGUGGUUGUGGCCAGUGAGAAUGUGCAGUGUUGUAUUGCAGAAGAAGCUAGUAAAGCUCAUCUGGUCUCUUGUUUCAGUGCUUCCAGGGGAUCCACUUUCAGAAGCUGACUCUGCAGGCAAGACCGACGUUAUUUUCCCGGUGGCUGUGUUCAAAACCACCCAAAGGGUUUGAGAAAUACUUUAAGAGGAGUGGAAGGAACACAAACUGAGAAACAUCAACAGCACCAAAAAAAGAGACUGGUGAACUAGAGAAUGCUGAGUCUGGAGGAGACGGAGGCAGGAGAGGAGGGAAGCGGGAUAACGUUGCCUGGUGGAGGCGGAUGCAGAAGGGGGGACUUCCCCUGGGGUGACGAGGAUUUCCGCAGUCUGGCCCUUUUAGGGGCAGGCGUUGCCGUGGGAUUUUUCUACCUCUAUUUUCGAGAUCCUGGAAGAGAAAUCACUUGGAAGCACUUUGUACAGUAUUACCUGGCCAGAGGUCUGGCGGACCGGCUGGAAGUUGUGAACAAACAAUCUGUGCGUGUUAUUCCUGCCCCUGGGACCUCUUCUGAAGGUUCAACUCUGCCACCAACGUCGUGGUGUUGGCUGGCACCAACCGCCCUGACGUCCUGGACCCGGCCCUCAUGCGGCCUGGCUGGUUUCAUCGCCAGAUUUACACUGGUCCUCCUGACAUCAAAGGCAGGUCCUCCAUCUUUAAGGUCCACCUGCGCCCACUGAAGCUGGACGAGAGCCUCAAUAAGGACGCCCUGGCGAGGAAGCUGGCAGCGCUCACCCCAGGCUUCCCUGAUGUCUGUUUACAUACCAAAGUUAAAAAGCUGGAAUGUUACCAAGACUGCUUUCUUCUGCCCAUAGAGGGGGAUGACUCAGCAGGGAUGACUCAGCACUACCCCUCAACAGAGAUGACUUUGAUGACUCUGCCCCUCAGCAGGGCUUACUAAGCACUACCCCUUAACAGGGAUGACUCUGCACUGCCCCUCAACAGGGAUGACUCAGCAGAGAUGACAGCACUGUCCCUCAGCAGGGAUGACACAGCAAGGAUGACUCAGCACUGCCCCUCAGCAAGGAUGACGCAGCACUGCCACUCAACAGGGAUGACUCAGGGAUGGCUCAGUACUGCCCCUCAGCAGGGAUGACUCAGCACUGCCCCUCAACAGGGAUGACUCAGCAGGGAUGACUCAGCACCGCCCCUCAACAGGCAUGACUCUGCAGAGAUGACUUAGCACUGCCCCUCAGCAGGGAUGGCUCAGCAGGGAUGACUCAGCACUGCCCCUCAGCAAGGAUGACGGAGCACUGCCGCUCAACAGGGAUGACUCAGCAGGGAUGACUCAGUACUGCCCCUCAGCAGGGAUGACUCAGCACUGCCCCUCAGCAGGGAUGACUCAGCACAGCCCCUCAACAGGGAUGACUCAGCAGGGAUGACUCAGUACUGCCCCUCAGCAGGGAUGACUCCGCACUGCCCCUCAACAGGGAUGACUCAGCAGGGAUGACUCAGCACCACCCCUCAACAGGCAUGACUCUUCAGAGAUGACUUAGCACUGCCCCUCAGCAAGGAUGACUCAGCAGGGAUGACUCAGCACUGCCCCUCAACAGGGAUGACUCAGCAGACUCAGCGGGGAUGACGCAGCACUGUCCCUCAGCAGGCAUGACUCAGCAGGGAUGACUCAGCACUGCCCCUCAGCAAGGAUGACUCAGCAGGGAUGAUUCAGCAGAGAUAACUCGGGGAUGACUCUGACUGCCCCUCAGCAGGGAUGAGUCUGUUUUGCUCUGAUGGAAGCAUCUGUAGUGUCCAUCAGCAGGUGAACAGCCAAAGUGGUAUAUACUGUAGUCAAAUUCAGCUAUAAAAAGGAAUAAAGUAUCGAUGCAUGCCACAACAUGGGUGAACCUAGAAAAUACUGUUCUAAAUGCAAGAAGCCAGGCACAAAAGGCCACAUAGUAUAUGUUCCCAUUUAUGUGAAAUGUGCAGAAUAAUAAUAAAAAUGUAUAGAACAGCAAAUCUGUAGGGACAGACAUGAGGUGAGUGGUUGCCAGAAGUGGAAAUGGGAGUUAACUAUAAAUAGCACAGGGUACCUUACAGAGAUGAUGGAAAUGUCCUAAAGCUAGAUUAUGGCAUCAGUUGCACUACGUGAUCAGUUUAUUAAAAAUCGUUGAUGUGUGUGUGUAGAAUGGGUGGAUUUUAUGGUUUAUAAAUUAUACCUUAAUAAAGGUUAACAAAAAAUGUGGCU
rnacentral:sRNA from 1 species